UGAUUUGUUGUCAAAAGGAAAUCUUGUUCCUGGCCAACAUAAAGCUUUUUCAAGGAGAUAGAGCUGCAGAAGGAUUGAUAUAGACUUCAGGACAGCAAAGAACACUCUAGUUUUUUUUCUAUUUUAUUUCUUAGAAAUUUGUAGGCAUAAUAAUAACAUAUUUUCAAAAUUGUACAAACUCAUGAAAUUGAGAGGUGAGGAAACUAAGACAGAAAAGUCAAGUAACUGCCCUCUCAGAUCACAUGGCUGGUUAGUAGCAGAGCUGGGAUUCCAACAUAAGCACAUAUCUGCAGACCCAGGCUCCUCACUCUCAGGGAAGAGUGUCAAUUACUAGGAUCACCUUGGACACCAACUUUUUUGGAGCAGUUCCUGUUUGUGUGAAUGGUAGUCGGCAUUCUCAGACAUAGUAACCACAGGAAUGAGUUCACACCAGCUUUUUUCGAGGAAAAUUCACCAAAAUUGGUGUUUGUUGAGUGAGUAAAUGAAGAAGGAGCGGAGUUCUUUUCCUUCCUUAGUUAUCUUUAUUUUUCCUCUUAACAGUUUACUACUAUAAAGGCAACAUUUGAAGAAGAGUCUUCAAGCAAUCAAUAUAGCAGUCGGCAAUUCAAUAAAUCAUUGGUCUAGGUUUGUGGUUAUCAACUGGGGGUGAUU